rnacentral:rRNA from 1 species
UACGUAGGGGGCUAGCGUUGUCCGGAUUUAUUGGGCGUAAAGAGCGUGUAGGCGGCCAGGUAGGUCCGGUGUGAAAACUCGAGGCUUAACCUCGAGAUGUCAUCGGAAACCAUCUGGCUAGAGUCCGGAAGAGGAGAGUGGAAUUCCUGGUGUAGCGGUGAAAUGCGCAGAUAUCAGGAAGAACACCAAUGGCGAAAGCAGCUCUCUGGGACGGUACUGACGCUGAGGUGCGAAAGCGUGGGGAGCAAACAGG